rnacentral:lncRNA from 1 species
AUAAAAAUUUCCGUCGUUAUAACCAAAAAUAUAAAAAAUCCACCGUCUCCGAUCGUCCACGUGUAUCCUCCGGCGUCUUUGUUCACCCCUCGAAGAAAACCCGCAGGAGAAUUCCGAAGUCAUGGAGUCUCCGAGUUGCGCCGACCCUCCCGACGUGGGAAACCUGCUAGCGUAUUUCGUACUCUCCAUUCCGGUGCUCGGAUUCAUUGUAUUCUUUUUAGCCAUCCUGUUCAAGUUCUGAACAUCCGUCAUCCCCUUUUUUGAACGAUCGAAAAUUUUCGUUAGCCACUGGAUCACGAAACAGAAUUCGACUGUCGAUCGAAAGUGGGGAUAAAAAGCAGAAGCAUAACGUAGAACGUGAAGGAAUAAUAGAGAAAAAAAAAAAAAAAAAA